UAUCUUGAUGUUAUUGCCAACGCCAAGCUCGCUGAUUAUGGUCCAGUUCGUGGUACUAUGGUCAUUCGUCCGAAUGGAAAUGCUAUAUGGGAGAGUGUCCAGGUACUAGUUUUCAUUUAUUUAUUUAUUUUCCAAAGGCAGAACUCAUUGAAAGCGUUAAAUGGCUAAGCAAUCGACAUGAGAGAAAGAACAAGAGUGAAAACGUGUGGAUAGAUGCAGCACAUCCGAAAUAAUUCCUUUGUUCGAGAGAUGGCUGGGAGCUCCUUGAAGAGAUUGAAUUACCAGCAAAGCGUCUCCUUCAAUAAGAAUAUUGCGGAAGCCUCUGGAUUUAGCAAGCUGUACUGCUUCCCUACAAGCAAGGGUCUCCGGAACUAGAGAAUCGGUGAUAUCGUAAAUCUUCUUGCAAUUCCAGCCGCAAGGAUGAGCAGAAGAGUCCCUUGCUAUUGCUGCAAUAGAGCGGCAAUUGUGAACUUUAUCAACAGCACUAUCAAAAUUAAUUUUGACUAAGCAUUGAGACGGAGAGGACCAAUCAUUGCAGAGUUGAUGGGGCGCCGUUUGUGGUGCAGGAAUUGUGUCUUGCACAGAAAAGAAUUCUUGAAAUGCUGACAUACCCGAAUACAGCAGUUCCUGGUGAGAUUGCAUUUGUCUCCUGAAAAUGAAAUUGUUCUGCAUCUUGGGAUAUACAAAUGUGGUCUAGUUUUUUUUGGAACAAUGCCUAGUUGUGUUUUUGAUUGUUACAAGCAACACCAAUCCUCUCCAUGAUUAAUGAUGCAAGUUUUGGGAAAGGGUAAUGAUGUAAGUAAGUGUUUUAAAAGUAAGGUAAAGAAAAGAAAUAAAGGGUAAAAUAGAUGUUUUAAAUCUUAUUUUAUUUGAAGAAAAACGUAUGUAAAUGAUGAUAUAUUAUUUCUGUAUUAUUUUAUUGGAA
rnacentral:misc_RNA from 1 species